AUUGAACGCUGGCGGCAGGCUUAACACAUGCAAGUCGAGCGGAGCGAGGGUGCUUGCACCUUAGCUUAGCGGCGGACGGGUGAGUAAUGCUUAGGAAUCUGCCUAUUAGUGGGGGACAACAUUCCGAAAGGAAUGCUAAUACCGCAUACGCCCUACGGGGGAAAGCAGGGGGUCCUCGGACCUUGCGCUAAUAGAUGAGCCUAAGUCGGAUUAGCUAGUUGGUGGGGUAAAGGCCUACCAAGGCGACGAUCUGUAGCGGGUCUGAGAGGAUGAUCCGCCACACUGGGACUGAGACACGGCCCAGACUCCUACGGGAGGCAGCAGUGGGGAAUAUUGGACAAUGGGCGGAAGCCUGAUCCAGCCAUGCCGCGUGUGUGAAGAAGGCCUUUUGGUUGUAAAGCACUUUAAGCGAGGAGGAGGCUACUUAGAUUAAUACUCUGGGAUAGUGGACGUUACUCGCAGAAUAAGCACCGGCUAACUCUGUGCCAGCAGCCGCCGUAA
rnacentral:rRNA from 1 species